rnacentral:rRNA from 1 species
GACAGAGGUGCCGAGCGUUAGGCGGAAUCACUGGGCUUAAAGCGUGUGUAGGCGGGCGGGCAAGUACCUUGUGAAAUCCCACGGCUCAACCGUGGAACUGCUGGGUAUACUGCCUGUCUUGAGCCAGCCAGGGGCAGUCGGAACAGACGGUGGAGCGGUGAAAUGCGUAGAUAUCGUCUGGAACGCCAAAGGUGAAAACAGACUGCUGGGGCUGUGCUGACGCUGAGACACGAAAGCCAGGGGAGCGAACGGGG